rnacentral:rRNA from 1 species
UACGUAGGGUGCAAGCGUUGUCCGGAUUUAUUGGGCGUAAAGAGCUCGUAGGCGGUUUGUCGCGUCGGAUGUGAAAACCCAGGGCUCAAUCCUGGGCCUGCAUUCGAUACGGGCAGACUAGAGUAUGGCAGGGGAGACUGGAAUUCCGUGGGUGUAGCGGUGAAAUGCGCAGAUAUCAGGAGGAACACCGGUGGCGAAGGCGGGUCUCUGGGCCAAAACUGACGCUGAGGAGCGAAAAGCGUGGGGAGCGAACAGG